rnacentral:lncRNA from 1 species
AGAAGCAGACAUUAUUUGAACAAGAUUCUGGAUUCUGAAUUUCACAAAGAAGGUGCAAGGCUAUGAUUUUUUCUUCAAGUUUCAUCAAAUUUUUCUGCAUAAGAUGAAUGAAUGAAUAAGUUACUAACUAACUAACUGAAGACGCCCUCAUCAAGCAGCUUUUACUGGCUGAACCAAGUGUCCUAUGGCCUUCAUCAAGCUGCGCUCUCUCUGAGGUAACCAGAUUUUUCAUCCCAUUGAUAUGUUUUCCAAUUGAAACAGAGAAUCAGUCAGCAAGGAAGGCAUCCUAGAACCUUUCUAGGACCAUGCUAGGAGCCUAAAUCUCAAAAAUUCAGCAGAGCCAUGGAAGAUUUGUCAUCCACUUUUCUUCAGAUGGGACGUGAUACAGAGAGGUGAAAAGUGUUCCACAGACACUCUGUCAGGGCAAGUGCUUGGGAUCACCAGUGCAAAAGGCCUAGGUGAGUCUGAACCAUUGCAGUGACCUUUCUUUCUAGAUCUAGAGCUUGCCUUAUGGCUUUUGCAUCAGAAGAUGGAAGAUUCCUAUGUAUGAGCCACUCUUCAGCAUGCAGUUGGAAGGACUGCUGGACAACUUAGCAGUUAUGGAUUGCACUGAAAGAGAAGAGGGCUGCAAACCUUCUUUCACACAGUACAUCUUGGCUCACUUCCUGCCCUUGGAAAAGAUUGUUUCAAUACCUGUGAACAUGUGCAUUACAAGAGACAGACUUGCUCCUUCCUGCAUCGAAAACUGAGCUCUGAAUAUUUCUCUGAGAACCUCAAGCAUGGAUAAUUAGCACAUUGAACAGAGAGUGCCUUCCUACCCCUGAAAGAAAAAAAGGAGUUGACUGAGGCAGCACCACUAUUACAGGCUGAGGACUAGCUCCACAUGACUCAAAGUGAAAGAGAGAAAUGAAACCAAAGCCUCCUACAGCAAAUUUCAUCCUACCUCUCUUCUCCCUUUCUCGAACCAAACUGUAUUGUCUUAAUCUGAGAAUGUGAUUUAUUUGUGAAAUACCUAGUGGGUGGCAGAGGUGGGGAGCAAAGCUGCACAAAGCUCCCCAGAGCUGCUGACCGAGGUAAAUAGUGUGUCAUAACACAUUUAUCAAAUAAUAAUGGAAACCGUAUAGAACAUGUAGGAGAGGGAGGGGGAAACCCCAUUCCCCACUGGGAAGUUACUGAAUAUUUCAGCCAGUUUAUAAAAAUAUGUGUACAUGUGUUUGGAAGGGGGGAGGUUUUUCUAGCUUCACCUCUGCAAAUAAAUCAUUGGUGUGGGAUGUCUGAGCA